rnacentral:rRNA from 1 species
AACGCGAAGAACCUUACCUGGGCUCGAAAUGUAGAGGAAGUUGGCAGAGAUGCCAACGCUCGUAAGGGCUUCUAUAUAGGUGCUGCAUGGCUGUCGUCAGCUCGUGCCGUGAGGUGUUGGGUUAAGUCCCGCAACGAGCGCAACCCUUAUCAUUAGUUGCCAACAUUUAAGGUGGGGACUCUAAUGAGACUGCCUGGGUUAACCAGGAGGAAGGUGAGGAUGACGUCAAGUCCGCAUGGCCUUUAUGUCCAGGGCUACACACGUGCUACAAUGGUCGGUACAGAAGGCAGCGAAACCGCGAGGUGGAGCAAAUCCCCAAAGCCGAUCCCAGUUCAGAUUGUAGUCUGCAACUCGACUACAUGAAGUUGGAAUUGCUAGUAAUGGCGUAUCAGCAACAACGCCGUGAAUACGUUCCCGGGCCUUGUACACACCGACUGUAC